ensembl:lncRNA
UCAUCAUUUAAUGAAUGAAACGUCCAUUUGUUGUUAUUUACUGUAACAGUAACUGUAACAGUAACUACGUUAGCUAGCUAGCAAGAUCUGAUCGGCUCCCGCCGUAAACCCCGCCCUUUCUACAAAUCGGCAAAUGAGAAGAGCUUUGGGCCCCCUAAACUUCUGGCCCCACAGCCGAAACAGAAGUGGGCGCUGCGCUUGCUCGCGCAACAGCUCCACAGUUUUCUACACUGCAGCAGACAGGGCCAUCUCGGCUGGGCCCCACCGAGCGGAACAGACGAGACGGAGCAACGAACUAUUUCACACACAACUACUACGCUACAAAAAAUCAUCAUGGAUUGCCAGUUUGAUUUCCCGAAUAACUGGAUUGUCAGCAGCAACGCCAGUUGCCUCUGUGUCAUGCAGAAACUGAGCAUGCAAAGGAGCAAUAACUGAGAGUGUAGGUGUAGAAUCCUCAGACAUG